rnacentral:rRNA from 1 species
AGUGAACGCUGGCGGUAGGCCUAACACAUGCAAGUCGAACGGCAGCACAGUAAGAGCUUGCUCUUACGGGUGGCGAGUGGCGGACGGGUGAGGAAUACAUCGGAAUCUACUUUUUCGUGGGGGAUAACGUAGGGAAACUUACGCUAAUACCUCAUACGACCUACGGGUGAAAGCAGGGGAUCUUCGGACCUUGCGCGAUUGAAUGAGCCGAUGUCGGAUUAGCUAGUUGGCGGGGUAAAGGCCCACCAAGGCGACGAUCCGUAGCUGGUCUGAGAGGAUGAUCAGCCACACUGGAACUGAGACACGGUACAGACUCCUACGGGAGGCAGCAGUGGGGAAUAUUGGAAAAGGGGAGCAAGCCUGAUCCAGCCAUACCGCGUGGGUGAAGAAGGCCUUCGGGUUGUAAAGCCCUUUUGUGGGGAAAGAAAGGCAGCAGGUUAAUACCCCGCUGUUCUGACGGUACCCAAAGAAUAAGCACCGGCUAACUUCGU